CAUUUUGGAGCACAUGCUUGCCAGUGUGUAUUGGACCUCCAUGCUGCCUGGUUGUCACCCAGCUGACUGUAAGCUGAACUAUGUAAAGACACAUAUUUUUCUGAACCUCAUCAGCUCAUCAGCAACUUUACUCUUCAAGUGAACGCAAUAAUAUUCAUCAAGUCCUCAGCAGCAGCCAUUUAUUAUGAACUGUAAUUUCUUAAAUAUCAAUACAUUAAACCCUGUU
rnacentral:lncRNA from 1 species